rnacentral:rRNA from 3 species
UUAAAUUGAAGAGUUUGAUCAUGGCUCAGAUUGAACGCUGGCGGCAGGCCUAACACAUGCAAGUCGAACGGUAACAGAAAGCAGCUUGCUGCUUUGCUGACGAGUGGCGGACGGGUGAGUAAUGUCUGGGAAACUGCCUGAUGGAGGGGGAUAACUACUGGAAACGGUAGCUAAUACCGCAUAACGUCGCAAGACCAAAGAGGGGGACCUUCGGGCCUCUUGCCAUCGGAUGUGCCCAGAUGGGAUUAGCUAGUAGGUGGGGUAACGGCUCACCUAGGCGACGAUCCCUAGCUGGUCUGAGAGGAUGACCAGCCACACUGGAACUGAGACACGGUCCAGACUCCUACGGGAGGCAGCAGUGGGGAAUAUUGCACAAUGGGCGCAAGCCUGAUGCAGCCAUGCCGCGUGUAUGAAGAAGGCCUUCGGGUUGUAAAGUACUUUCAGCGGGGAGGAAGGGAGUAAAGUUAAUACCUUUGCUCAUUGACGUUACCCGCAGAAGAAGCACCGGCUAACUCCGUGCCAGCAGCCGCGGUAAUACGGAGGGUGCAAGCGUUAAUCGGAAUUACUGGGCGUAAAGCGCACGCAGGCGGUUUGUUAAGUCAGAUGUGAAAUCCCCGGGCUCAACCUGGGAACUGCAUCUGAUACUGGCAAGCUUGAGUCUCGUAGAGGGGGGUAGAAUUCCAGGUGUAGCGGUGAAAUGCGUAGAGAUCUGGAGGAAUACCGGUGGCGAAGGCGGCCCCCUGGACGAAGACUGACGCUCAGGUGCGAAAGCGUGGGGAGCAAACAGGAUUAGAUACCCUGGUAGUCCACGCCGUAAACGAUGUCGACUUGGAGGUUGUGCCCUUGAGGCGUGGCUUCCGGAGCUAACGCGUUAAGUCGACCGCCUGGGGAGUACGGCCGCAAGGUUAAAACUCAAAUGAAUUGACGGGGGCCCGCACAAGCGGUGGAGCAUGUGGUUUAAUUCGAUGCAACGCGAAGAACCUUACCUGGUCUUGACAUCCACGGAAGUUUUCAGAGAUGAGAAUGUGCCUUCGGGAACCGUGAGACAGGUGCUGCAUGGCUGUCGUCAGCUCGUGUUGUGAAAUGUUGGGUUAAGUCCCGCAACGAGCGCAACCCUUAUCCUUUGUUGCCAGCGGUCCGGCCGGGAACUCAAAGGAGACUGCCAGUGAUAAACUGGAGGAAGGUGGGGAUGACGUCAAGUCAUCAUGGCCCUUACGACCAGGGCUACACACGUGCUACAAUGGCGCAUACAAAGAGAAGCGACCUCGCGAGAGCAAGCGGACCUCAUAAAGUGCGUCGUAGUCCGGAUUGGAGUCUGCAACUCGACUCCAUGAAGUCGGAAUCGCUAGUAAUCGUGGAUCAGAAUGCCACGGUGAAUACGUUCCCGGGCCUUGUACACACCGCCCGUCACACCAUGGGAGUGGGUUGCAAAAGAAGUAGGUAGCUUAACCUUCGGGAGGGCGCUUACCACUUUGUGAUUCAUGACUGGGGUGAAGUCGUAACAAGGUAACCGUAGGGGAACCUGCGGUUGGAUCACCUCCUUACCUUAAAGAAGC